GAUGAAGAACGUAGCGAAAUGCGAUAAGUAAUGUGAAUUGCAGAAUUCAGUGAAUCAUCGAAUCUUUGAACGCACAUUGCGCCCUCUGGUAUUCCGGGGGGCAUGCCUGUUCGAGCGUCAUUAUAACCACUCAAGCUCUCGCUUGGUAUUGGGGUUCGCGGUUUCGCGGCCCCUAAAAUCAGUGGCGGUGCCUGUCGGCUCUACGCGUAGUAAUACUUCUCGCGAUUGAGUUCGAUAGGUCUACUUGCCAGUAACCCCCAAUUUUUACAGGUUGAUCUCGGAUCAGGUAGGGAUACCCGCUGAACUUAAGCAUAUCAAUAAGCGGAGGA
rnacentral:misc_RNA from 1 species